CUUGAUAAAUGAUGAUUUUAAAAUUGUACCGCCCCAGUCUGAUGUUUCAUGACUGAUUGGUACCACUUCUGAUAUAAG